UACGAGGGGGGCAAAUGUUGUUCGGAAUCACUGGGCGUAAAGGGAGCGUAGGCGGGUGUUUAAGUUAGGUGUUUAAUCCUGGGGCCCAACCCCAGUCGUGCACCUAAAACUGGACAUCUUGAAUAGUGGAGAGGUCAGUGGAAUUGGGGGUGUAGCGGUGGAAUGCGUAGAGAUCCCCAAGAACACCAGUUGCGAAGGCGGCUGACUGGACACAUAUUGACGCUGAGGUGCGAAAGCGUGGGGAGCAAACAGG
rnacentral:rRNA from 1 species